rnacentral:misc_RNA from 1 species
AUACACAAGUGUAGCUCCCCUCUGCAAUAAAUGAAAUAGCAUAAAUGCAAGACAUGCAUUAGAUGUUUGUUAUGGACGCAUUUGUAGGCAAGACUUAUGCAGGACGUGAUCCACAAGAAAUUCCAAUCAAUGGUGAUAAGAAUGGCAAAAAAUAAAUUAGUAUCAAAGGUGAAUUCAGCAGCAACAACAACUAAUUAUUAAUAGAAAUACAUAUCCGCUUAAGAUAUUAUUAUGAUUGCCAUUAUCUUAAAUUAUGGCUUUAAAUGUUGGUUUUCAAUAGUAGAAAAUUCUAUAUGAAAUCAUGUAAUAAUCUUUUUAUAAGGAGAUCAUAUUAUAAAUAAAAUAUCAAGUAGAAUUAUUUUCAACUAUAUUGAGAUUUGGACUCUCUCUUAUUUAAUAAGUCUAAGGUUAGAGUUUUCUUUUAACGAGUUUACGUUUUCA